rnacentral:rRNA from 1 species
GAGUUUGAUCGUGGCUCAGAUUGAACGCUGGCGGCAUGCCUUACACAUGCAAGUCGAGCGGCAGCGCGGGGGCAACCCUGGCGGCGAGCGGCGAACGGGUGAGUAAGUGCAUCGGAACGUGUCCUCUUGUGGGGGAUAACCAGUCGAAAGACUGGCUAAUACCGCAUGAGAUCGAGAGAUGAAAGCAGGGGACCGCAAGGCCUUGCGCGAGAGGAGCGGCCGAUGCCGGAUUAGCUAGUUGGUGGGGUAAAAGCCUACCAAGGCGACGAUCCGUAGCUGGGUCUGAGAGGACGACCAGCCACACUGGGACUGAGACACGGCCCAGACUCCUACGGGAGGCAGCAGUGGGGAAUAUUGGACAAUGGGCGAAAGCCUGAUCCAGCCAUGCCGC